ensembl:rRNA 5S_rRNA 5S ribosomal RNA
GCCAGCAGCUAUCACUCUGCAGCUCUCACCUGGUCACCCACUGAGGCUAAGCAGGGUUUUGCCUGGUCAGUACCUGGAUGGGACAUCUCCUGGGAAAACUAGGUUUCUGCUGGAA